GGAAAGCUUAGUAGAUUGUUUGGAUGCACUACGAGUUAGGCAGUCUAUAUCAAGCGCGGACUGUGGCGUGGUUUACAAUUCGAAAUGUUUUCGAGCGAUCGUUUAUGACAGGAACAACGUCACAUUGAGCGUCGCUGAAUCUAUCUGCGAAAACAAACUGGCUAACAUUUAUGACGUAACACACUACAAACAGCUUCGAGAUUACUUACGAAUAAUGAUUCCUGAUGGAAGGACAUCAAUUUAUGUUCGUACGGGAAUGACUUACAAGAACGGCCAGCUAUAUUCAACGACGGGCCAAGCUAUAUCUUUGCCGACUGAGGUUUGGUAUCCGAAUUAUCCGUCUUCCGUUGCAUCGUGCACAACUGUUGUUGUUUUUUUCAGGCAAAACCCGGAAGACAAUAAUCAAGGAAUUUAUAAUAUUCCUCCUUCCUAUGUAUAUCACGGAGUAAUAUGUGAAAAUGAAUUAUAACUCUGUUUAUCGAAUGAUUGAUAAACAAAAAACUGUGAAAAUGAAUUUAAAAGUGAUUUAUGUAACUUAACUUACACUUCAACUAUUUCCAGGACACGUAGUUGAACAAGCAUUGAAUCUUGCCGUCUUAUCUUGUUUAUUUUAAUAAAACUGUAUUUUGUUAGUUAGAUUUGUCCGAACAAUUUAUUUUUUUAUUU